AUGAAUUGCUUGGCCUGGAACUGUCGAGGACCGGGGUUGGACUUGAUAGUAGGCGAACUUCGGGACCUCAUACGGUCACACAACCCAGCGGUGGUUUUCUUAUCAGAAACAAAAAAGAGUGCGAAGGCUAUGGAGAGAUUGAAGUGGAGACUUGCGUUUAGAAGCGGAGUGGCUGUGGAUUGUAAUGGGAAGAGUGGAGGGCUUGCAUUAUGGUGGAGAGAGCAUAUACAGGUCACUAUCAGGCCAUGGUGCCAGUACUUUAUUGAUGCUAAGAUUACCUCAGAUGGGCAUACUUGGAGAUUCACUGGAAUCUACGGGAGCCCAAAACGGAGUUGA
rnacentral:rRNA from 1 species